rnacentral:rRNA from 1 species
GAUGAACGCUGGCGGCGUGCCUAAUACAUGCAAGUCGAGCGAACAGACGAGGAGCUUGCUCCUUUGACGUUAGCGGCGGACGGGUGAGUAACACGUAGGUAACCUACCUAUAAGACUGGGAUAACUUCGGGAAACCGGAGCUAAUACCGGAUAAUAUUUCGAACCGCAUGGUUCGAUAGUGAAAGAUGGCUUUGCUAUCACUUAUAGAUGGACCUGCGCCGUAUUAGCUAGUUGGUAAGGUAACGGCUUACCAAGGCAACGAUACGUAGCCGACCUGAGAGGAUGAUCAGCCACACUGGAACUGAGACACGGUCCAGACUCCUACGGGAGGCAGCAGUAGGGAAUCUUCCGCAAUGGGCGAAAGCCUGACGGAGCAACGCCGCGUGAGUGAUGAAGGUCUUCGGAUCGUAAAACUCUGUUAUUAGGGAAGAACAAACGUGUAAGUAACUGUGCACGUCUUGACGGUACCUAAUCAGAAAGCCACGGCUAACUACGUG